rnacentral:rRNA from 1 species
UUCCUACGGGACGCAGCAGUGGGGAAUAUUGGGCAAUGGGCGCAAGCCUGACCCAGCAACGCCGCGUGAAGGAAGAAGGCUUUCGGGUUGUAAACUUCUUUUCUCAGGGACGAAGAAAGUGACGGUACCUGAGGAAUAAGCCACGGCUAACUACGUGCCAGCAGCCGCGGUAAUACGUAGGGAGCGAGCGUUAUCCGGAAUUAUUGGGUGUAAAGGGUGCGUAGACGGGAACUUAAGUUAGUUGUGAAAUCCCUUAGCUCAACUAAGGAAUGGCAACUGAAACUGGGUUUCUUGAGUGCAGGAGG